UCUCGACUAAAAAGAGGUAAAACACCCCGAUUACUCUUUCUAUCUCUCUUUAUAUGUGUGUGUGUGUUUCCAAAAACUAUUUGAUUUUGGAUUUCACGAAUCGAGAAGUGGCUUAUUUUCCCAAUGAUUGUUCUUUACGAUUUGGUUAUCUGAAACGGCCUCCGACCUCCUGUUUGUGACUUCUUCAUCUGUGUAACAACCACCACAUGGUAAAAGUUAUCAAAACCACCUCCUACUAUUCUUUCUUGCUGUAUAUCUAUUUUUGUUUUUGAAAGAUUCCUGUUUUUUGGGUUUUUGAAGAAUCAUGAAGGCUAAAAAGAGGUUAUAUUGAGAAAUUAUGUUUUCAAAGGUCAGAUUCUGCUUCAACAUUUUCAAAGAUUUAUGUUUGUUUUGUUUCAUUUUGUAUUUUAAUUUGUCAGUACAUGUUAAUUUUUGUUUAAUCAAUGUCCAGGUUUGCAUUCUUGACCAUGACUCAUAAUCUGAGGUAAAACCACUUCCAUUGGUUAAUGUUUUCGAUUUUUCAUGUUUUUUUUUAUUGAAGAAUGAAAAUGAACGAACCCCAGAUUGAUGUUCUUGGUGCCUGGAAAUGAAUGGAACCACAAACUAAUUGGAAAGAUUAACCUAAUUUCCUGUUUUUAUACAUGUAUUUACCUAAAUUUUGCAAUUGUGUUUACAAAAUUUAAAUAAAAAUGGAUUUUUUGGUGAUUUCAGUCACUUGGAAGAAGACAUAAGGACCUGUAACUAAAUAUCACUCAUUAGGUAAAGCUUAAAUCCCUUCUCCCACACCAAGAGCUUGGAAGGUGGGCAAGUGGUAUUUUUUGUGUAAAUAUGGGCUAUUUUCUAAGGAAUUUGCUCAUAGGUGCGAUAAAGGAAAUAAGGGAAAAAUCAAUUAAAAAGGCUAUUGUGCUGUUUGUUAAGGUAUAUUUACCAUUUUACUUUAAAAAAAAGUCGGUUAGAUACUUAAAUCUCAUAUUUCUGAAAGUGAGACAAAAAGAUCUCAUUUUUGUUCUGACUUUCAUAUAAUAGAGUAAAUUACAAAUAUUUUGAAUUAAUGAUUUUGAACAAAUUGGUAAAUAAGUUUAUCUGCGUCUAAAACAAACAAAAAAAGUGACCCCUUAAAAUAGACCUUUGAAGAAACCUAUCCUCUUGGCCACAUGUAAUCAACUAUCAUGUUUCACAUCUUUUGUAAAUACACUAAAUUUAUUUUGGUUCCAACUAGCAUUAUCUGCUCAAGUUUUGUUGUGGGUGUUGCCCUUCUAGAAAGAAAAUCGGUUUUCAAGUACAACUUUGUAAAAUAUAAACAUAAUUUUCAUUUGUUUAUGCCAAAAAUAUAAAAUUGUUGUUUUUAUUUGUAUUGUGAAAGUAUAGUGUUCAUUUGUGUUUCAGUAAUACAGUUUUAAGAAAUAGAAAGACAUUAUCAUUACAACACCAAGUUCAAGUAGUGGCUUCAUUUGUGUUGCAGUAAUGUAGUUUUGAUGUUAUAAAGUCAAUGUUAUAUGAUGUCUCUUCAACCAUUUCUUUGCUCAAAAAUAAUAAAGAGGGACCUCAUUAUGAUUCUCAACUCUAAAAGGUACGUUACAUAAUAAAAUAUAUUGCUUUUGAGUUUUGAGAAUAUCAUAUAAAUUUUCAGAUUUCUUGAAAGAUUAGUGACUACACAUGAUGUAAGUCAUAAAUUUUAUAGGGGUUGUUGGAGAGGGCAGGGGCAGGUGAAUUUUGUCUAAAUCUUUAGGUAUAUAAAUAUGUAUACUUAUGACGUGCUUGUGUUGGUUGAAUAUGUGUGAUACAUAUAUAGGCAGACAUAUGUGAAUAUUUUCCAUAUUAGCAGCAAUGGUCCCUGUGUUUAUGUAUAUUUGUUGUGUUUUAGCUAAAAAUGAUUUUGUGUCUUGCGUGUAAUGUAUGUUUGCUUAGAAGUUAAAAAAAAAAAAAUAGCUUAACAUAUGUUGAUGUUUCUAGAAUUUAGCAAGAAAUAGUCGUGUACUUUAAUAUAUUUGUUUAUUCACAAUAUCAUAUUUUCAUUAUUUCUCAGGGUUGAUUACAAAAACGCCAAAUAUAUUUAUGUUUCUUGCCAUGUAGUAAGUAGUCUUGGAAAUUCACCCUAAAACAACCAAAAAGUGUGGUUCUUUUAUUUUUCACUUAAAAUAGUUAGCAACAAAGGAAGUAAGAUGCUAUGAUAAAACAAAUGGUGUGUUAACUUUAUACAAGUACCGACGAGUAUUAGCUUGCACGACAUUAAUAAAAGCCCAAGCUUAAACAUUUGGCAUAUGUAGUUGUCGGAAAAUGUUCAUAUUUGAUUUAGUUUUAUUUACCAAACGUGAUUAUUAUAUAAUUGUGGAUGAUUUAAAUGAGAUUUAUUGUUCAUAACGUGGAUGCUCAUAAAGUAUUGCAUCAUUAUCACCAAUUAUACUCUUAUUUUAGUUAUCGAUAUAAUUUUUUUUUAUAAAUGAUUUGUCAAGAAACAGUUGAUAAAAAGGUAUGUGUGUGUUCUUAUUUGUUUUUUUUUUUUUAAACAGUCUGAUAGAAAACAUAUGUAUCUAUAUAAGUUACAAAUCUUCCAAAGGCAAAACAAGAUUCGUUAAAAGUUGGAUUUCAAAUGUAUUCCAUAAAGGUUUUUGACAUAAAAGUGUUUAUAUUUGUCAAGUUUUGACCUUUUUGUCCCUACGAUGAUUUUUGU
rnacentral:lncRNA from 1 species